AUUGAACGCUGGCGGCAUGCUUUACACAUGCAAGUCGAACGGCAGCGCGGGCUUCGGCCUGGCGGCGAGUGGCGAACGGGUGAGUAAUGCAUCGGAACGUGCCCAGUAGUGGGGGAUAGCCCGGCGAAAGCCGGAUUAAUACCGCAUACGACCUGAGGGUGAAAGCGGGGGACCGAAAGGCCUCGCGCUAUUGGAGCGGCCGAUGUCGGAUUAGCUAGUUGGUGGGGUAAAGGCUUACCAAGGCGACGAUCCGUAGCUGGUCUGAGAGGACGACCAGCCACACUGGGACUGAGACACGGCCCAGACUCCUACGGGAGGCAGCAGUGGGGAAUUUUGGACAAAGGGGGAAACCCUGAUCCAGCCAUGCCGCGUGCGGGAAGAAGGCCUUCGGGUUUUAAACCGCUUUUGUUCGGGAAGAAAGCCUCUGGGCUAAUACCCCGGGGGGAUGACGGUACCGGAAGAAUAAGCACCGGCUAACUACGUG
rnacentral:rRNA from 1 species